rnacentral:rRNA from 1 species
UACGAGAGGCCCAAACGUUAUUCGGAAUUACUGGGCUUAAAGAGUUCGUAGGCGGCAUGAAAAGUAGGGUGUGAAAGCCCUCGGCUCAACCGAGGAAUUGCGCUCUAAACUGUCGUGCUCGAGGAAUCUAGAGGUGAGCGGAACUGAUGGUGGAGCGGUGAAAUUCGUUGAUAUCAUCAGGAACACCGGAGGCGAAGGCGGCUCACUGGGGGAUUUUCUGACGCUGAGGAACGAAAGCCAGGGGAGCGAACAGG